CGAUGAUACGCGAGAACCUUACCUGGUCUUGACAUGUUAGGAACCCUUAAGAGAUUAGGGGGUGCCUGCUUGCAGGAGCCUAAACACAGGUGGUGCAUGGUUGUCGUCAGCUCGUGUCGUGAGAUGUUGGGUUAAGUCCCGCAACGAGCGCAACCCUUGUUGCUAGUUACCAGCACGUAAUGGUGGGAACUCUAGCGAGACUGCCGGUGACAAACCGGAGGAAGGUGGGGAUGACGUCAAAUCAUCACGCCCCUUAUGACCUGGGCUACACACGUGCUACAAUGGGCGGUACAAAGGGCUGCGAACCCGCGAGGGGGAGCGAAUCCCAAAAAGCCGCUCUCAGUUCGGAUUGCAGGCUGCAACUCGCCUGCAUGAAGCCGGAAUCGCUAGUAAUCGCGGAUCAGCAUGCCGCGGUGAGUACGUUCCCGGGCCUU
rnacentral:rRNA from 1 species